CUCAGAGAAGAGAAGAGAAAAGAAGAGAAGACAAGAGAAGAGAAGAGAAGAGAAGACAAGAGAAGAGAAGACCAUUGGACUGGACAUGGACACCACACUGCUGAUCAUCUCUAUGUGCUUCUGGAUCCAAGGGCUCCUGUCUGAAAACAACAGCACUUCAACAGAGUCUGUCCACUUCAGGUUGGUGG